UAUUAGCCAUCUUACUUACUUAAAUCGGUGUUCAUCUCGCUCUCAAUAAUUGUUAUGGUGCUAUUGAUCUUAUCACAUGAUUCCUUAUAAACUUGAAUCAAGUCAUAUCUCCUUGAGGUAAAUACAAAAAAUGAAAAAGUGGUUUUCUGCGUUCUGCAUCCAUAACGGCUCACAACAACAACAACGGUAUUCAAUCCCGGUGAGUGUCGGGAUUUGAGGGAGGUAUGAUGUAGACAAUCUUAUCCUUCCCCAAUGGUAAAGAGGUUGUUUCCUAAGGACCUCCGACCUAGGGUAUUACUGAAAAAAUAGUCUCGACGGCUAACUGGAGCAAAGCCAAAAGAGAAGAGGAGAUCCCGAUCUCAGAUCUAGAGAGAAGCCAUAACGGCUCAAAACAGAUUAAAUGAUAAAAACUGAUGUGGCGCUGAGUUGGCGUUCUAGAUGAUUCUGGAUCUUGAAACCAUACCUGAUGCUCUUAUGCUUUGAUUUCUUAGAUGUCAACCUUUGAUUCUUUGAAUCAAGGAACUAACAACCUUCUUCGGUUCUACAUUUAUUUUAAUCAUUAAAGUAUAUCAUUAAUUUUAAAAAUUAA